ensembl:lncRNA
UUAUUAAAUGGAACAAGCACUCAUACCUUUUAUUAAACAAACAAACAAACAAACAAAACACCUCACCAUUAAUAACCCAUGCAGCGAAAAAAAACCCAAAAACCAAACCAAGAAAAACCCCACGCAGCGAUGCUGUAUCACAGGGGACGCAUGUGUAUAGUCAUGUCCCGAAAAAGGUUUGCACCAUACUGGUGCUGAUGUUUACCCUGGAGAGUGCAGGAAAUAAAUCAGAGUUGUAGGUAGUGAUCAAAGAGAACUUGACCGUAGUAUUUCAGGUUAUUUUUUCGGGGGAAUAUCUCAUUUAUAAAACUCAUUUUAAAAGCAAAUUAAUUUAGAAAGAAACAUAGUAGUUGUUCAAGUGAGCAUAUGCUAGACCUGAUCCUUGGUGAGGCAAGGCAUUAACCUCUAGAUCAGGUACAUUAAACAGACAUGGUUCUAUGGCUUUCUGUAAAUAUCCUGUCUGAGACGGACCACAGAAAAGAUGCCCACGGGUUGCAGAGGUACGAAUGUGAAAGGAAAUGCCUCCAUGUGCAAGCUGAGUGCCGAUUCCCCCAACGGGCCUGGAUUACUGGGAUCGGGUCAAUACUGUUGGAUUCUGAUGUUUCUGAGGCUUUGUGGGUUUUAAGUGAUUUCAUUUGAGUCUCAGAACUGUGCCCGGGAGGGGCAGAUUUGUCCUUUCCACUUCACAGGUUAGAAGGCUCAGCUUGAGAAAAACUGGCAUCUACAAACCAAAGUUAGUAAGAGGAAAAGCCUCGGAUGUCCCGGGAGCCGCAUGCUUUUUCUAAUUUCUCCAUUCUCAACAGAUCCAACUCUAGCAGUUUACAGCAGCUGUCAGACCCCAGACUUCAUCCUCUUGCUGGCUGAGUUCACAUUUUGGCGGCAUCCUUUACCCACUGUCUACUUGAACCUAGGCACGGUACCUCAAAAUCCAAAUCCAACACCCAAUUUCAGAACAUGGUUGUUACUACCCGGGGGAUUUUCCAGCCAGUGGGAAGUUUGCUCUUGAGAACAGCACUCCGCCUCCAAUCCGGCACCAGUUCUGAGUGCUAAGUGAGCGUGCUGGGCUUGAUACCACAGCUCUGGUGACAGCUGGUACUCUGUCCCAUGUUGUUAACAUUUCGUGAUGGACCCAGGGCCUGCCUCUCCGAGUAAGAGGCUGCAGAGACCUUCGGUUCCUUUUGCUUAUCCUUCAGUAGCCUCGGAAUGAUCGUGUGCUUGGUAAGUCCCUCCAGCCUCAUAAGGGUGCCAGAAGAGGACGAACCUAUGUGUAGUAACGCUUUUAGAAAUAGUAAGUCUCCCGUGAGCUUUGACACUUCUAAAAAUAAAUUCUCACCCCUCUGCCUCAGCCCUCCAAACCUGCUCUUCCACACUCCUGCCUCGCUCAACUGCAAUUUAGCCUUCACACCUUAGAAACCCCAAGCCUUAAAGUCACUCUUCUCAUUUUUGCGCUUUACUUGCAAUCUUUGACCAGAUCUUGUCGGCUUGACAUUCCCAUUUCAUCCGGAGUCCGACCAUUUCUUACCACUACGACUGCCGUCAUCAUGUUGUGAGCCACUGCCCUGUGUCACUCACGUCAUCAGCACGGCCGGUACGUGCACCUCCCCACGACACAUCUUGGCACCGAGUUUCUCCUCAAGACAGCAGCCAGGGCCGGGGAUUUAGCUCAGCGGUUCUGCCGCCUGUCUCAAGACAGCAGCCAAAGGCGCCCGCUUCCAUCCAGCUCAGUCCAUGUCACUCCUAUCCAAAAACCUCCAAGGGUUUCAUCUGCUGACGAGGAGUGAAACCAGAGCCCUUUCUGAUGCCCUACAAGAUCCACCUUCCCCCGUCUCCUACUACUGUCCCUAUAGCCCCCUUGUCUCCAGGGCCUCCGGGGUCCACGCUCUUUCUCAAACACCCUGCAGUUUCUUCUCUGGGUUAUGACACGUUGCCUUCACUCUGCCCGAGAAGCACUUUUUUCCUGGUGUCCUGGCUAGCUUGCUC